rnacentral:rRNA from 1 species
CGCAUCUGUGCAUGCAGCAUAUCAAUAAGCGGAGGAAAAGAAACUAACAAGGAUUCCCCUAGUAACGGCGAGUGAAGCGGGAAGAGCUCAAAUUUGAAAUCUUAAAGGGUUUCCCUUUACGAAUUGUAGUUUAAAGAAGUGUUUUCUGUUGAGGUUUUGGUAAAAGUUCUUUGGAAUAGGACAUCAUAGAGGGUGAGAAUCCCGUAUUUGACCUUUACUUUCAACUUUGUGAUACACUUUCAAAGAGUCGGAUUGUUUGGGAAUGCAGUCCAAAAUGGGUGGUAAAUUUCAUCUAAAGCUAAAUAUUGGCGAGAGACCGAUAGCGAGCAAGUACCGUGAGGGAAAGAUGAAAAGAACUUUGAAAAGAGAGUUAAACAGUACGUGAAAUUGUCAAAAGGGAAGCGUUUGACACCAGUGUUGUUUUUCUGAAAAUCAAUUAAAGAACUGUUUAUGCUAAGUUGUUUAGACUUUAUCAGCUAUACUGCUUAGUUUUGAGCUUUUCUUUAAUGCACUUUUCAGUUAACAAGUCAACAUCAAUUUCUUUUGCUGUAAAAAAGCUUGAGGAAGGUGGCUUGAGAUUCGUCUUAAGUGUUUAUAGCCUCUUGCCUAUGCAGUCGGAGAGAUUGAGGUCUGCAGCGUAGAUCCUUCGGGGCUAAAUGCAUUUGUGCUAAGUUAUAGCAUUUUAUAGACAACUUGUUGACUAUGAUUUGUCUUGUAGCUUACUCGCUUAUGUUAUUUUACCUACGCUUAGGAUGUUGAACUCUAUCACACACAG